rnacentral:misc_RNA from 1 species
GCAAACUUGGUCAUUUAGAGGAAGUAAAAGUCGUAACAAGGUUUCCGUAGGUGAACCUGCGGAAGGAUCAUUAGCACACAAAGGAAUCUUGCAUUCUUAAGACCCCUUUCGAGUAUUUGUAGUUGUUGCUUCCGCGAAUCGUGAGUCAUGCCGGCUCUUCGCGGAAGGUUUGCCAAAACUCUGAACUGUUGGAAUUCGUCUGAAUGUUGUAGAUUGAAAUCUGAAUAUUCUUGAAAACUUUCAACAAUGGAUCUCUUGGUUCUCGCAUCGAUGAAGAACGCAGC